AGAGUUUGAUCAUGGCUCAGGAUGAACGCUGGCGGCGUGCCUAAUACAUGCAAGUCGAGCGCGACUGAUUGCGCCGUCCUUAUGGACACCGUAAUCAUCGAGCGGCGGACGGGUGAGUAACACGUGGGCAACCUACCCUUAAGACUGGGAUAACCGCGGGAAACCGUGGCUAAUACCGGAUAAUACUUUUAUACAACGGUAUAAAAGUUGAAAGAUGGAUUUCUAUCACUUAAGGAUGGGCCCGCGGCGCAUUAGCUCGUUGGUAAGGUAACGGCUUACCAAGGCGACGAUGCGUAGCCGACCUGAGAGGGUGAUCGGCCACACUGGAACUGAGACACGGUCCAGACUCCUACGGGAGGCAGCAGUAGGGAAUCUUCCGCAAUGGGCGAAAGCCUGACGGAGCAACGCCGCGUGUGCGAAGAAGGUCUUCGGAUCGUAAAGCACUGUUGUUAAGGAAGAACGACAGUAAGAGUAACUGCUUACUGUGUGACGGUACUUAACCAGAAAGCCACGGCUAACUACGUGCCAGCAGCCGCGGUAAUACGUAGGUGGCAAGCGUUAUCCGGAAUUAUUGGGCGUAAAGCGCGCGUAGGCGGCGAGAUUAGUCUGAUGUGAAAGCCCCCGGCUCAACCGGGGAAGGUCAUUGGAAACUGUUUCGCUUGAGUGCAGAAGAGGAGAGUGGAAUUCCAUGUGUAGCGGUGAAAUGCGCAGAGAUAUGGAGGAACACCAGUGGCGAAGGCGGCUCUCUGGUCUGCAACUGACGCUGAUGUGCGAAAGCGUGGGGAUCAAACAGGAUUAGAUACCCUGGUAGUCC
rnacentral:rRNA from 1 species